rnacentral:rRNA from 1 species
UAGGGAAUCUUCCGCAAUGGGCGAAAGCCUGACGGAGCAACGCCGCGUGAGUGAUGAAGGUCUUCGGAUCGUAAAACUCUGUUAUUAGGGAAGAACAAAUGUGUAAGUAACUAUGCACGUCUUGACGGUACCUAAUCAGAAAGCCACGGCUAACUACGUGCCAGCAGCCGCGGUAAUACGUAGGUGGCAAGCGUUAUCCGGAAUUAUUGGGCGUAAAGCGCGCGUUGGCGGUUUUUUAAGUCUGAUGUGAAAGCCAACGGCUCAACCGUAGAGGGUCAUUAGAAACUUGAAAACUUGAGUGCAGAAGAAGAAAGUGGAAUUUCAUGUGUAGCGGUGAAAUGCGCAGAGAUAUGGAGGAACACCAGUGGCGAAGGAGACUUUCUGGUCUGUAACUGACGCUGAUGUGCGAAAGCGUGGGGAUCAAACAGG